rnacentral:rRNA from 1 species
GAUGAACGCUGGCGGCGUGCCUAAUACAUGCAAGUCGAGCGGACAGACGAGAGUGCUUGCACUCUCUGACGUUAGCGGCGGACGGGUGAGUAACACGUGGGUAACCUACCUAUAAGACUGGGAUAACUUCGGGAAACCGGAGCUAAUACCGGAUAAUAUUUAGCUUCGCAUGAAGCAAUAGUGAAAGACGGUUCUGCUGUCACUUAUAGAUGGACCCGCGGUGUAUUAGCUAGUUGGUGAGGUAACGGCUCACCAAGGCAACGAUACAUAGCCGACCUGAGAGGGUGAUCGGCCACACUGGGACUGAGACACGGCCCAGACUCCUACGGGAGGCAGCAGUAGGGAAUCUUCCGCAAUGGACGAAAGUCUGACGGAGCAAUGCCGCGUGAGUGAAGAAGGUUUUCGGAUCGUAAAACUCUGUUGUAAGGGAAGAACAAGUACGUUAGUAACUGAACGUACCUUGACGGUACCUUACCAGAAAGCCACGGCUAACUACGUG